rnacentral:rRNA from 1 species
AUUGAACGCUGGCGGCAGGCCUAACACAUGCCAGUCGAGCGGAUGAAGGGAGCUUGCUCCUGGAUUCAGCGGCGGACGGGUGAGUAAUGCCUAGGAAUCUGCCUGGUAGUGGGGGGUAACGUCCGGAAACGGGCGCUAAUACCGCAUACGUCCUGAGGGAGAAAGUGGGGGAUCUUCGGACCUCACGCUACCAGAUGAGCCUAGGUCGGAUUAGCUAGUUGGUGGGGUAAAGGCCUACCAAGGCGACGAUCCGUAACUGGUCUGAGAGGAUGAUCAGUCACACUGGAACUGAGACACGGUCCAGACUCCUACGGGAGGCAGCAGUGGGGAAUAUUGGACAAUGGGCGAAAGCCUGAUCCAGCCAUGCCGCGUGUGUGAAGAAGGUCUUCGGAUUGUAAAGCACUUUAAGUUGGGAGGAAGGGCAGUAAGUUAAUACCUUGCUGUUUUGACGUUACCAACAGAAUAAGCACCGGCUAACUUCGUG